GGGUUGUGAGGUUAAGCGACUAAGCGUACACGGUGGAUGCCCUGGCAGUCAGAGGCGAUGAAGGACGUGCUAAUCUGCGAUAAGCGUCGGUAAGGUGAUAUGAACCGUUAUAACCGGCGAUUUCCGAAUGGGGAAACCCAGUGUGUUUCGACACACUAUCAUUAACUGAAUCCAUAGGUUAAUGAGGCGAACCGGGGGAACUGAAACAUCUAAGUACCCCGAGGAAAAGAAAUCAACCGAGAUUCCCCCAGUAGCGGCGAGCGAACGGGGAGGAGCCCAGAGCCUGAAUCAGUGUGUGUGUUAGUGGAAGCGUCUGGAAAGACGCGCGAUACAGGGUGACAGCCCCGUACACAAAAAUGCACAUGCUGUGAGCUCGAUGAGUAGGGCGGGACACGUGGUAUCCUGUCUGAAUAUGGGGGGACCAUCCUCCAAGGCUAAAUACUCCUGACUGACCGAUAGUGAACCAGUACCGUGAGGGAAAGGCGAAAAGAACCCCGGCGAGGGGAGUGAAAAAGAACCUGAAACCGUGUACGUACAAGCAGUGGGAGCCUCUUAAUGGGGUGACUGCGUACCUUUUGUAUAAUGGGUCAGCGACUUAUAUUCUGUAGCAAGGUUAACCGAAUAGGGGAGCCGAAGGGAAACCGAGUCUUAACUGGGCGUUAAGUUGCAGGGUAUAGACCCGAAACCCGGUGAUCUAGCCAUGGGCAGGUUGAAGGUUGGGUAACACUAACUGGAGGACCGAACCGACUAAUGUUGAAAAAUUAGCGGAUGACUUGUGGCUGGGGGUGAAAGGCCAAUCAAACCGGGAGAUAGCUGGUUCUCCCCGAAAGCUAUUUAGGUAGCGCCUCGUGAAUUCAUCUCCGGGGGUAGAGCACUGUUUCGGCAAGGGGGUCAUCCCGACUUACCAACCCGAUGCAAACUGCGAAUACCGGAGAAUGUUAUCACGGGAGACACACGGCGGGUGCUAACGUCCGUCGUGAAGAGGGAAACAACCCAGACCGCCAGCUAAGGUCCCAAAGUCAUGGUUAAGUGGGAAACGAUGUGGGAAGGCCCAGACAGCCAGGAUGUUGGCUUAGAAGCAGCCAUCAUUUAAAGAAAGCGUAAUAGCUCACUGGUCGAGUCGGCCUGCGCGGAAGAUGUAACGGGGCUAAACCAUGCACCGAAGCUGCGGCAGCGACACUAUGUGUUGUUGGGUAGGGGAGCGUUCUGUAAGCCUGUGAAGGUGUACUGUGAGGUAUGCUGGAGGUAUCAGAAGUGCGAAUGCUGACAUAAGUAACGAUAAAGCGGGUGAAAAGCCCGCUCGCCGGAAGACCAAGGGUUCCUGUCCAACGUUAAUCGGGGCAGGGUGAGUCGACCCCUAAGGCGAGGCCGAAAGGCGUAGUCGAUGGGAAACAGGUUAAUAUUCCUGUACUUGGUGUUACUGCGAAGGGGGGACGGAGAAGGCUAUGUUGGCCGGGCGACGGUUGUCCCGGUUUAAGCGUGUAGGCUGGUUUUCCAGGCAAAUCCGGAAAAUCAAGGCUGAGGCGUGAUGACGAGGCACUACGGUGCUGAAGCAACAAAUGCCCUGCUUCCAGGAAAAGCCUCUAAGCAUCAGGUAACAUCAAAUCGUACCCCAAACCGACACAGGUGGUCAGGUAGAGAAUACCAAGGCGCUUGAGAGAACUCGGGUGAAGGAACUAGGCAAAAUGGUGCCGUAACUUCGGGAGAAGGCACGCUGAUAUGUAGGUGAAGUCCCUCGCGGAUGGAGCUGAAAUCAGUCGAAGAUACCAGCUGGCUGCAACUGUUUAUUAAAAACACAGCACUGUGCAAACACGAAAGUGGACGUAUACGGUGUGACGCCUGCCCGGUGCCGGAAGGUUAAUUGAUGGGGUUAGCGGUAACGCGAAGCUCUUGAUCGAAGCCCCGGUAAACGGCGGCCGUAACUAUAACGGUCCUAAGGUAGCGAAAUUCCUUGUCGGGUAAGUUCCGACCUGCACGAAUGGCGUAAUGAUGGCCAGGCUGUCUCCACCCGAGACUCAGUGAAAUUGAACUCGCUGUGAAGAUGCAGUGUACCCGCGGCAAGACGGAAAGACCCCGUGAACCUUUACUAUAGCUUGACACUGAACAUUGAGCCUUGAUGUGUAGGAUAGGUGGGAGGCUUUGAAGUGUGGACGCCAGUCUGCAUGGAGCCGGCCUUGAAAUACCACCCUUUAAUGUUUGAUGUUCUAACGUUGGCCCCUGAUCGGGGUUGCGGACAGUGUCUGGUGGGUAGUUUGACUGGGGCGGUCUCCUCCUAAAGAGUAACGGAGGAGCACGAAGGUUGGCUAAUCCUGGUCGGACAUCAGGAGGUUAGUGCAAUGGCAUAAGCCAGCUUGACUGCGAGCGUGACGGCGCGAGCAGGUGCGAAAGCAGGUCAUAGUGAUCCGGUGGUUCUGAAUGGAAGGGCCAUCGCUCAACGGAUAAAAGGUACUCCGGGGAUAACAGGCUGAUACCGCCCAAGAGUUCAUAUCGACGGCGGUGUUUGGCACCUCGAUGUCGGCUCAUCACAUCCUGGGGCUGAAGUAGGUCCCAAGGGUAUGGCUGUUCGCCAUUUAAAGUGGUACGCGAGCUGGGUUUAGAACGUCGUGAGACAGUUCGGUCCCUAUCUGCCGUGGGCGCUGGAGAACUGAGGGGGGCUGCUCCUAGUACGAGAGGACCGGAGUGGACGCAUCACUGGUGUUCGGGUUGUCAUGCCAAUGGCACUGCCCGGUAGCUAAAUGCGGAAGAGAUAAGUGCUGAAAGCAUCUAAGCACGAAACUUGCCCCGAGAUGAGUUCUCCCUGACUCCUUGAGAGUCCUGAAGGAACGUUGAAGACGACGACGUUGAUAGGCCGGGUGUGUAAGCGCAGCGAUGCGUUGAGCUAACCGGUACUAAUGAACCGUGAGGCUUAACCUUACAACGCCGAAGGUGUUU
rnacentral:rRNA from 1 species